rnacentral:misc_RNA from 1 species
GGCGUGUAGUUUUAUUUUGUCUCGCUGGCACUGUUAUUGUAGGAAUUUGAUAGCCGGCAGAAUUGUUUCUCUUUUUCUGAUGUGUAAAAUCAGUCUCCAAAAUUUAGAGAACCUGUAAUCCUAGAUCAUGAAUUCCAAAAUUGUCUAUUUCAAGUCCUAACAAGUUUUCUACUUCAACCUUUUCCAUAAUGAGUCCUCCUUGUGUAACCCCGCAAGUGAACUGCG